UAGUGAGUUUGAUCCUGGCUCAGAACGAACGCUGGCGGCAGGCUUAACACAUGUAAGUCGAACGGGCGUAGCAAUACGUCAGUGGCAGACGGGUGAGUAACACGUGGGAACCUUCCUAGGGGUACGGAACAACUCAGGGAAACUUGAGCUAAUACCGUAUACGUCCGUGAGGAGAAAGAUUUAUCGCCCUUAGACGGGCCCGCGUCGGAUUAGCUAGUUGGUGGGGUAACGGCCUACCAAGGCGACGAUCCGUAGCUGAUCUUAGAGGAUGAUCAGCCACACUGGGGACUGAGACACGGCCCAGACUCCUACGGGAGCAGCAGUGGGGAAUUUUCCGCAAUGGGCGAAAGCCUGACGGAGCAAGACCGCGUGAGGGGA
rnacentral:rRNA from 2 species